AUUGAACGCUGGCGGCAGGCCUAACACAUGAAAGUCGAACGAGUGGCGGACGGGAGAGUAAUGUCUGGACAACUGCCUGAUGGAGGGGGAUACCUCCUGGAAACGGUCGCUACUACCUCAUACCAUCAGAUGUGCCCAGAUGGGAUGAUCUAGUAGGUGGGGUAAUGGCACACCGCGGCGACGAUCCCUAUCUGGUCUGAGAGGAGGACCAGCCACACUGUAACUGAGACACGGUCCAGACUCCUACGGGAGGCAGCAGUGGGGAAUAUUGCACAAUGGGCGCAAGCCUGAUGCAGCCAUGCCGCGUGUGUGAAGAAGGCCUUCGGGUUUUAAAGCACUUUCAGCGAGGAGGCGUUACUCGCAGAAGAAGCACCGGCUAACUCCGUGCCAGCAGCCGCGGUAAUAC
rnacentral:rRNA from 1 species